rnacentral:rRNA from 1 species
GACAGAGGAUGCAAGCGUUAUCCGGAAUGAUUGGGCGUAAAGCGUCUGUAGGUGGCUUUUUAAGUCCGCCGUCAAAUCCCAGGGCUCAACCUUGGACAGGCGGUGGAAACUACCAAGCUGGAGUACGGUAGGGGCAGGAGGGAAUUUCCGGUGGAGCGGUGAAAUGCGCAGAUAUCAGGAGGAACACCGGUGGCGAGGGCGGGUCUCUGGGCAGUAACUGACGCUGAGGAGCGAAAGCGUGGGGAGCGAACAGG